CUGCCCCUGAGGAGGGUGGAGAAGCAGAAACAGAGUGUGAUAAACUGGUUGCAGCCCCUCUCUGCCAUCCUGCUGGGGGAGAGGGAGAGAAAACUGUGAGCGAAGCUGUGCCCAGGAAGAAGGCAGGAGUGAAGGAAAGGAAUUGUUUAAAAUUUGAAUCAUAACCAUUCAUAACACGGCUCAGAAAGGAACAAUGUCAUGUUGACUGAGAACUGGCUAAAGGAUCAUAAAAGGAGGAAUUCUCUCCAGCCUACUAAGUCAUCAAUAAAUAUUCUUGGAGUAUACAGAUCUGAAGCACUCAGGGAACACUCAAAACCUUGGUUUGGCUUUCUUUUCAUCUCUACUGUUUCUCUUUCUGCAAAGGGAGGAUUUGUUCCAUUCUCAACAGAAUAAAUUAAUAAAUAACAGUG